GCGAAACAAAAAAAAACAAGCCAUUCUAACGGGAAUACAUUUUUGGAACGUGGUGCAAGCCGUUCUUUGGAUAAAUGGAAAAAGGUGAUGUGUUCAAAAUGAAGGGUUCACAUGAACAGAAAGAAAAGAAAUUGAAAAUGCUGGUCUCGUACUGGCCAAUGCUCUACGGAGCACACCAUUUGCGGCAAAAAGGGAAAGUGGGUGAGCCAUGGAGAGAGAGGCGCGCUGCACAGCGUUUUGAAUUUGAAAGCAAAAGGAGAGAUGAACUGCAAACCCAAGACCCAAGCG
ensembl:ncRNA C24A3.14 ncRNA